UCUUAUGGAGGAGGCAGCAGAGACUCUGCUCUCCUCGUUUGGAUUAAUUCUGAUAUAAUAACUGUUGGUUUAUUUAUCGGUGGAGCAGCAGAACCUUCUCUACAGACAGUUUUCCUGCCCGUUGGCUUGUUUUAACCAGUUUUCUACCUUCGGCUGAUUCUACCAGCAGACACUGAAAGGACUCUGAUAGUUCGAGUGAAAGUAGCAGUUCCUCCUGAAGGUCAGAGAUCGCAGCAUCUGAGGGCCUCUUCAAAAGAAGACGUAGUUGAUGAAGGCGUUCUGGAGCAGGACCAGAAAGACCACGACCAAGCAGCCUUGAGAUCUUAGACAGCUUCUCCCUCAGGUCCCUCUCUAUCUCCCCACACAUCCACCAACCACUGGAACACAUCUCCAAAGUUCUGCCGGACCAGCUCAGCUUCCCCUCAGAAGAAGUGCUGCCACCUGCCAGAUGAAGGAGCCUUUUGAGAGGCAGCUGGCAUCGUGAUUGGACUGUACUUUGGUCUGUUCCAAUCCAGCUUCAGCUCCAGAGACGGCAGGCGGGACGAGUCAACGGAGGCCUGGUGGACGAAGGCAUGAAGCUGAGUACAAUCCAGAAAACAACAGAGGAAGAAACAAACAUAGUGUAUACAUCAUAUACUGUAGAAAAGACACAUCCACUGUAGAAUUGUAGUAAUUGUGGGCUGACUGAUUUACUGAUUAGCAGUAUUUUAUUUUUUACUGAUUUACGGUAAUAAAUAAAUUUUAAAAUGGUGCUACUUUGGCUCUGAACCUUUAUCUACCUGUGGUUGCUCUGUCUUCUGGAGUGAUUUGAUUGGUUAUACGUCACGAAUAAAACUCCUUUAACUUAACAUCUGUAAACAAAACAAAAACGUAUCAACAAAGUUUUCUGUUAGAGUUUGUGUUCUUCUAAGUUUAACUCCAAGAUUUUAAAUACUUUCAUUUACUGCAAAUGAAUAUCUACUCCAAAUGUCUCACUAAUAAUCAUUAUCAGCCUUAAAAACCCACAAAACACCCCUCUAUACUGGACCACACUUAGUACAGUCUGGUUCCCCCUUCUAUAAAUCUGCUUGGAAUCUUCCACUUCCUGUUUGUCAAAGUGGCCUUCUACCUGGACAGGUUUUGUUGGAGCUCAUGCAACAAACAUUUUGGGUAACUGCACUUUAAUAUGGAUGGAUGACACUGAAUUAGAGUCUGUUUUAAUGAGACUAAGUUAAGAUGUGUAGCUCUGUCAUUAAAUAGGAAAUUAUUUCUCAGAAUUCACAGAGAAAAGUCUGAAAUGUUUGCUAGGUUAGCGUCCCACAUGUUCUUUGGCUCAGCUAAUGCUAACUCUCUCCAACUUCUGGAUCUCUUGAGUUGCUUGUUGUUAAAAUAUCUUGCUAGAGGUGCUGAAGCUCAGAAAGUCUGAGAUGUUUGUUCAGAAUAAGCUCAUUCUCUUAUCUGAACAUUCCUCUUUUGUUUGAACUUUCCCUAAACUUAGGAGUUAAUGACAGAGCAGCACAUCCAGACUCAGUCUCAUUUAUGUAGAGAUUAAACUUCAGUGUCAUUCAUUGAUGUUAAAGUGCAGUUUUUCAAAUGUUUGUUGCAUAUGCUCCCGACCAAACCAGUCCAGGUGGAAGACGAUGUGAAGAGAAAGCUCCAGAGGAUGAAUAUCACACAUUUACGUUGGAAAUAAAUGUCCUUUAAUGAGACAUUGUCAUGCAAAAGUUGGAUUUCCCUUUAAUGAUGUUCAAAUCUUUGUUGAGUGUUUUAUUGAUGUUGGUUCCUAAAUGUUUUCUGACACUCGGCCCCAAAGAUUAAAACAUUUUACAGCUCACAAGCUGCAACAAUUCACACAUUAUCAACUAUCUUUCUGACUAAACUCAGAUAAAAAGUGAAAAACUGCCUGAUUCCUGCAUCAUGAAUGUAAAUCUUUUUGGUUUUUAUGACAGUAAAUUGAAUAUAUUUGGGUUUGACAUAAACCAAAACAAGAAAUGAAUUAGUGGAGAAAACAAUCAACAGAUUAAUGGACAAAGAAAAUGUGUUUUCCAACAUAUAUGGCUGAAUUACUCCAACAUUACAAGAUACAUACAAUUUUAAUUCAAUUUUAUUUAUAUAACGCCAAUUACAGGUGAAAUUGUCUCAAGAUGCUUUAUUUUUAUAUAUUUUUUAUCAUAUUUUAAAUAUGACAAAGUAAGAAAUUUAAACCUCUUGACUAAUCCAAUUUAUUAUUUGGUUUUUAAGAGACUAAUGGACAAUUAAAAUAACUUUCUCCACUAAAACUAAUAAACAUGAGGUCAAAUAGAAAGAACAGUUUUAAAUACUGCAGUCUCACGAUGACAAGAAUAAAGUUUCUCAACAAAAAGUAAAUCUGCUGGUGGAUUCCAUGAAAGUCCUAAUAAAGGAUAAUAAAGUGUGAUACCAAAGGUUUGUGGUGCUAAAAAUGUCCAAGUAAAGAUAUGAAGUUGAACAUCUGGAUGGAGGCUGAUAAAAGUUGACCUCCCUUCAUUUCACUGGAGCGACUCCAUGGAUUUUAUGGAUGGUGGUUAAAGACCUGCUCUUCUAGUGGUCUUCCUUCUAGUCGCUGUAAAAAGUCAGUCCAUCCUGGCCGACUUCAACACCUCUUCAUGACAACUUGUUCUGCCUCCGACCUGGUGGAAACUCCAGAAACUCGGGAAAACCUGUCGAGACUCGAAGAACUCGUGGAGACUUG